rnacentral:lncRNA from 1 species
GUGCCACUAGAGGACUCCAGUGAGCCUUUGGAAGGUGAUGUUUCCACAACUGCCAAGGAAAAAAGCAAGCAAAAAUCUUUAAAAAAUCCCACAGGGCUAUCCCUUGCCUCAUCUUCAUCACCUGUGCACCAGAGUCCCAACUUUGGAGUUGCCCAUGAAUCUGCGCCUGGCUUCUCGAGUGUGUCACACUUCCGACAGGACAGGUCACAAACCUAUGCUUGGACUAUUGGGGUCAUCUUUCUUAAGUGACUGCUCUAUAGAUGAACAGAGAGAUAGAAUACUGAAUGGCGUUCCUGUUAAGAGUGAGACACAGAAAUAUGUCAGUGUUCCUUCACCACCACCAGAGGAAUUCCCGGAAUCAAUGCAGACAAGGCAAUGUCAAGCUCACAC